GAAAAGUUUGAUCCUUGCUUUAUUCUCUAAUUUAAGAAUAAAUAUACAUGUAAGUUAAUCUGUAUUAAUUUGUCAAUAAAUUUGUUUUUUAUGUUUCAGUGCAUGGUUUUAGUUAUGUAUUAUAUUAUUAUCUAGUAAUUCUUAUUAUUUCAGGUUAAAUUUGUGCCAGCAGCCGCGGUUAGACAAUGAGUGAAUUUAGAGAUUUUCGGUGUGCAGUUAUAAUGUAGUUUUCUUUUUUAGUUACUUAAAUUUGGUGGUGAAAUAUUUAUAUUGUUGGUAGCAUAAUUUAGUUAUUCUUUUUUAUAGGCUGUGAAAAUUUAGAUAUAAAAUAGGAUUAGAUACCCUAUUAUACUUUAUUAAAAAUUUUGUGCUUGAUUAGUAAUCAGUUAUUUUCUUGAAACUUAGAGGAUUUGGCGGUAUUCAAGUCUAGUUAGAGGAACCUGCUCAGUAAACGAUAUGCCCCGUAAAAUCUUUCUUUAUUUUGUUUCCAGUUUGUAUACCGCCAUUAUUAAGUAGUGUUUAUAGAUAAAUAUUGGGAUAAUAUUUUAGUAUAUUAGGUCAAGGUGCAGCUAAUAGUAAAGUUGAAGUGGGUUACAUUUAGUUUUAUUAAAGUCGGAUUUAAAUUUUAUAAUUUUAUUGAAGUUGGAUUUAAUUGUAAUUUUGUUUUAAUAAGGCAUUAUGAUAGUAGCUCUAGAAUAUGUACACAUCGCCCGUCGCUCUCAUUAGUUAAAGUGAGAUAAGUCGUAACAUAGUAGGUGUAUAGGAAUAUGUACCUAGAAUUAG
rnacentral:ncRNA from 1 species